AGCCACUCCAUCCCCAUCCACUUCGGGGAAAGAUGACUCUCCAAGAGUAGCACAAAGCAAUCCAUCUCAGGCACCAUCAUCCGAACCUUCACCUCGCCCACCAAUCGAUGUGAGAAAAUCAUGAAAAAAGGACAAUGCUCAUCCUGCACUUCUAAAAUCAAGUCAGAAAUCUACCUCCGUCAUGGCAUCAUCAACUUCGACUGAAGGAGACAGCGUCG
rnacentral:lncRNA from 1 species